AGCAGUCGCCGCGGUAAUACAGAGGGUGCGAGCGUUAAUCGGAUUUACUGGGCGUAAAGCGCACGCAGGCGGUUUGUUAAGUCAGAUGUGAAAUCCCCGAGCUUAACUUGGGAACUGCAUUUGAAACUGGCAAGCUAGAGUCUUGUAGAGGGGGGUAGAAUUCCAGGUGUAGCGGUGAAAUGCGUAGAGAUCUGGAGGAAUACCGGUGGCGAAGGCGGCCCCCUGGACAAAGACUGACGCUCAGGUGCGAAAGCGUGGGGAGCAAACAGGAUUAGAUACCCGUGUAGUCCCUGUCUCCUUAUA
rnacentral:rRNA from 1 species